CCCAGACUCCUACGGGAGGCAGCAGUGGGGGAUAUUGCACAAUGGGGGGAACCCUGAUGCAGCGACGCCGCGUGGGUGAAGGAGCGUUUCGGCGCGUAAAGCCCUAUCGGCAGGGAAGAAGGAGGACGGUACCUGACUAAGAAGCCCCGGCUAACUACGUGCCAGCAGCCGCGGUAAUACGUAGGGGGCAAGCGUUAUCCGGAUUUACUGGGUGUAAAGGGGGCGCAGACGGCAGCGCAAGCCAGGAGUGAAAGCCCGGGGCCCAACCCCGGGACUGCUCUUGGAACUGCGCGGCUGGAGUGCAGGAGGGGCAGGCGGAAUUCCUGGUGUAGCGGUGAAAUGCGUAGAUAUCAGGAGGAACACCGGUGGCGAAGGCGGCCUGCUGGACUGCGACUGACGUUGAGGCCCGAAAGCGUGGGGAGCAAACAGGAUUAGAUACCCUCGUAAA
rnacentral:rRNA from 1 species